AAUAUUGCUUAUUACUUAUAAAGCCCUGAAUGGUUUAGCACCUCAGUAUUUGAAUGAGCUCCUUUUACAUUAUAAUCCUCUACGUCCGCUACGUUCUCAAAACUCAGGCAAUUUGAUAAUACCUAGAAUAUCAAAAUCAACUGCGGGCGGCAGAUCCUUUUCCUGUUUGGCGCCUAAACUCUGGAAUAACCUACCUAACAUUGUUCGAGAGGCCGACACACUCUUGCAGUUUAAAUCUAGAUUAAAGACCCAUCUCUUUAACCUGGCUUACACAUAACAUACUAAUAUGCUUUUAAUAUCCAAAUCCGUUAAAGGAUUUUUAGGCUGCAUUAAUUAGGUAAACCGGAACCGGAAACACUUCCCAUAACACCCGAUGUACUUGCUACAUCAUUAGAAGAAUAGCAUCUAGGCUAAUAUUAGCCUGUUUCUCUCUUAUUCCAAGGUCACCGGAGCCACCAGAUCCAGUCUGUAUCCAGACCAGAGUGUCACUGCAGUCACCCGGAUCCAGUACGUAUCCAGACCAGAUGGUGGAUCAGCACCUAGAAAGGACCUCUACUGCCCUGAAAGACAGCGGAGACCAGGACAACUAGAGCCCAGAUACAGAUCCCCUGUAAAGACCUUGUCUCAGAGGAGCACCAGGACAAGACCACAGGAAACAGAUGAUUCUUCUGCACAAUCUGACUUUGCUGCAGUCUGGAAUUGAACUACUGGUUUCGUCUGGUCAGAGGAGAACUGACCCCAACUGAGCCUGGUUUCUCCCAAGGUUUUUUUCUCCAUUCUGUCACCGAUGGAGUUUCGGUUCCUUGCCGCUGUCGCCUCUGGCUUGCUUAGUUGGGGUCACUUCAUCUACAGCGAUAUCGUUGACUUGAUUGCAAAUUAAAACAGACACUAUUUCAACUGAACAGAGAUGACAUCAAUGAAUUCAAUGAUGAACUGCCUUUAACUAUCAUUUUGCAUUAUUGAGACACUGUUUUCCAAAUGAAUGUUGUUCAGUGCUUUGGCGCAAUGUAUUUUGUUUAAAGCACUAUAUAAAUAAAGGUGAUUGAUUGAUUGAUUAA